rnacentral:rRNA from 1 species
AUUGAACGCUGGCGGCAGGCCUAACACAUGCAAGUCGAGCGGAUGAAGGUAGCUUGCUCCUGGAUUCAGCGGCGGACGGGUGAGUAAUGCCUAGGAAUCUGCCUGGUAGUGGGGGAUAACGUCCGGAAACGGGCGCUAAUACCGCAUACGUCCUGAGGGAGAAAGUUGGGGUUCUUCGUACCUCCCGCUAUCUGAUGAGCCUAUGUCGGAUUAGCUAGUUGGUGGGGUAAAGGCCUACCAAGGCGACUAUCCGUAACUGGUCUGAGAGGAUGAUCAGUCAAACUGGAAAUGAGAAAAGGUAAAGAAGAAGAAGGGAGGAAGAAGUGGGGAAUAUUGGACAAUGGGAGAAAGAAUGAUAAAGAAAAGACGAGUGUGUGAAGAAGGUAUUAGGAUUGGAAAGAAAUUUAAGUUGGGAGGAAGGGAAGUAAGUUAAUAACUUGAUGUUUUGACGUUAAAAACAGAAUAAGAACCGGCUAACUUAGUG